AUGAGAAAAAUUCUUGUUUCUGAUCCUGUUGCUACGGAAAGCCAGGAGAUACAUCAGAACCUGAGAAGAGUUUAAGUUGAUAAAGCCAUGAGUUGAUUUCAAUGGUGAUAACGAAUUCCAGACGGCAAUCCCAGCAUGAUGAUAGGGGAGUCUGAUGAAAGUUAGAGCCAGAGAAAGAUCCUGAUAUAUGAUUCCAGGAAGAGUUCCUGAAAAAGACCGAUCAAGAUUGGAGAGCUGUCAUGAUUGAAGACUCUCACUGAAGAUUCCGUCAACAUUCAAGGGGGAGUCUGUUGGUGCAGUUGUCUGUCGACUACAUCUUAGUUCGAGUCUUAGGUUAGGGCUGUUUGUAUUAUGCACAGAAAUCGAGAAAUCAUGUUUUAGACAUGGUUCCGCUUAUGUGUCAUAGGUAGAGGUUCCGCUUGAAUGUCAUCAUAUAGUUCCGCUUAUCUGUCAUGUAGGUUCGCUUAUAUGGACAUGUCCAUAUAAGCGAAACCCCAUGCCUAUAUAUAGGUGGUCUUAUAAGCGGAACCAGGUAGUAGUUGUGUGGUGUAACGGCGAAGCCCUGCCAGUUUGUCUCCAGAGCUUGUAAAUUGUUAGCAGAUUAAUAAAAGAGACGCUAAAGUGUGA
rnacentral:lncRNA from 1 species